UCACAUUGUCUCUCUUGGCUUCCUUACGGU
rnacentral:piRNA from 1 species